rnacentral:rRNA from 1 species
AGUGAACGCUGGCGGCAGGCCUAAUACAUGCAAGUCGAACGGAAGGACAGUGAGCGUUUGCCUUUGACGUUGGCGGGUGGCGGGUGGGUGAGGCGUGCAUAGGAUACCUCUUUUUCGGGGGGGAUUACGGAGGACCAGAUCUGCUAACACAGAACAUGUUCUACGGGUGAAUGCAAUGGUUCAUGGCAGCUUGCGUGUCUGUAUUAGCUGGUGCCGUAUUAGCUAGUUGGUUGGGUAAGGGCCCACCAAGGCGACGAUCCGUAGCUGAUCUGAGAGGAUGAUCGGCCACACUGGAACUGAGACACGGUCCAGACUCCUACGGGAGGCAGCAGUAGGGAAUAUUGAGCAAUGGGCGCAAGCCUGACGCAGCCAUGCCGCGUGAGUGAUGAAGGUCUUCGGAUUGUAAAGCCCUUUUAUUGGGGAAGAAAAGCAGCAUGUUAAUACCCCGCUAUUCUGACGGUACCCGAUGAGUAAGCACCGGCUAACUUCGUG